GAGAAUAUUAUUAUUUGAUUAGUAGGAUUAAUUUAAUUGAUAAAAAAAGUUAUUGUUCUGUUUUUGUAUAUUUUAGAUAAAAUUUGAUUUAUUAUAGUUUAUAGUACUGUGAUGGAAUUAUUUAGUUUGUUUUUUUUGUUAAAGGAUAUUUUAUUAGUACCUUUUGUAUCAGGGUUUAUCAAGAUUAUUUUAUGGAUUUAAGGGUCUCGAAUUAGGGAGAGUUAUUAUACAAUGAAGGUUACUGUGGAAUUUUUAUCUUUAAUUGUUUAUAGGGGUGAUAUACUAUGCGUUCUUUAAGAUAUCUAGUUUAUUGGGAUUUAAAUUUAAUUUAUAUAUAUAGGUGAUUUGAUUGUAUGAAUUUACUUUUAUAUGAAGUGUACUUGGGAUUAGCUUAGUAUAAUAUUAAAAGUUUGUAAGGAGGUAAGAUUUAUAGGCUUUAUAAUGGCAUAGAUUAAAAAAUAUAAAAAUUUAUUUAUUUUUAUGUGAUUUAUAUAAUUUUAGUGUGAUACCAAUGUAAUAAUAAGAAUGAAUAUUUUUUUGAAAUAAUGAUGAAAUUAGUAGAUUUAGUUUGUUUUGUUUAUAAUAGAUAAUAAUAUAUUAGGAAUUCGGCAAAUAUAUUAUCCGCCUGUUUAUCAAAAACAUGUCUUAAUGUCUUUUAUGUUAAGUCUGGCCUGCCUACCGAUUUAUAUUGAGGGGCCGCAGUAUAUUGACUGUGCAAAGGUAGCAUAAUCAUUAGUCUUUUAAAUGGAGGCUGGAAUGAAGGGUUUAACGAGAUAAUAACUGUCUUAUAUAUUAUAAUUGAAUUUCAUUUUUAAGUAAGAAAGCUUGAAUUAUGAUAAGGGACGAUAAGACCCUAUAGAACUUUAUAUGAGUUAUUUAAUAAAAAUAAUAAGUAUUUUACUGGGGCGGUUAGGAAAGAUUAAAACUUUUCUUAAUUUUUACAUUUUAUUUGGUUUAAUGAUCUUAUAUUAAGGAUAAAAAAAUAAGUUACCUUAGGGAUAACAGCUUAAUUUUCUUGGAGAGUUCAAAUCAAUAAGAAAUAUUGAGACCUCGAUGUUGGAUUAGGAUAACUAUGGGGCGCAGUAGCUUUUUUAGUAAGUCUGUUCGACUUUUAAAUUCCUACAUGAUCUGAGUUCAGACCGGUGUGAGCCAGGUUGGUUUCUAUCUUUAUUUUGUUUAUGUAAAUUAGUACGAAAGGGCCAUUUACAUGAAAUAUUUUUUUUUAUGGAAUAAUAUU
rnacentral:rRNA from 1 species